GAUGAACGCUGGCGGUAUGCCUAACACAUGCAAGUCGUACGAGGGUUUUUAACNCCUAGUGGCGGACGGGUGAGUAACACGUGAGAAUUUGCCUUUAGAGGGGGAUAACAAUCGGAAACGAAUGCUAAUACCCCAUAUGCUUUUGAGUGAAAUGGAUUUAUCCGCCUAAAGAGAAGCUCGCGGCUGAUUAGCUUGUUGGUAAGGUAAGAGCUUACCAAGGCGACGAUCAGUAUCUGGUUUGAGAGGACGAUCAGACACACUGGAACUGAGACACGGUCCAGACUCCUACGGGAGGCAGCAGUGGGGAAUUUUCCGCAAUGGGCGAAAGCCUGACGGAGCAAUACCGCGUGAGGGAAGACUGCCUAUGGGUUGUAAACCUCUUUUUUCAGGGAGGAAUAAAAUGACGUGUACCUGAAGAAUAAGCAUCGGCUAACUCCGUG
rnacentral:rRNA from 1 species